rnacentral:lncRNA from 1 species
AGAGAGACUAUGUUCUGUCUUUGAGCUUUUAGAGUGAAGAAAUGUAGUUCAAGAUUCUCCUUAAGGAGAAAACUCUGAAGUAACAUAAAGACUCCUGGAAGAAGAUGAUUUAUAGAGAAGAUUUUGAUCAUGUACCUAUUCCUAGAUUACUUCACGAGAACCUUAGCCACUGCUUGGACAGCUCCUACCAGUCUCCCAUCCAGGAUCCUGGAGCACAAACCCUCAGCCAUUUGGAGAAAUUAAAAGCUUCUAUGCUCACAAUACUCCUGGACAAAAGGAACUGAUACAGGAUAAAAUAAGCAGAACCAGGAAAAAUUGUACAAUGAUUAAAUGUGGAAACUUGCUUUUUCUCAACAAUGCAAUGAUCUGGGACAAUCCUGAAAGAACUGUUAGAGUUGGAUGAAUGUGGAUGAAAGCAUACUAUUAUUCACAUCAGUGUACUUAUGGUUAUAUUUUGGAAUUUUUCUUCUGUCUUAGUGUGAUUUUACAACAAUGAGCGAUAUUGAAAUAUGCUUUGCAUGAUAAUAAAUAUAAAAAAUUUAAAAAUAGUUAAAAUAUU